UAACACAUGCAAGUCGAGCGGUAACAGAAAGUAGCUUGCUACUUUGCUGACGAGCGGCGGACGGGUGAGUAAUGCUUGGGAACAUGCCUUGAGGUGGGGGACAACAGUUGGAAACGACUGCUAAUACCGCAUAAUGUCUACGGACCAAAGGGGGCUUCGGCUCUCGCCUUUAGAUUGGCCCAAGUGGGAUUAGCUAGUUGGUGAGGUAAUGGCUCACCAAGGCGACGAUCCCUAGCUGGUUUGAGAGGAUGAUCAGCCACACUGGGACUGAGACACGGCCCAGACUCCUACGGGAGGCAGCAGUGGGGAAUAUUGCACAAUGGGCGCAAGCCUGAUGCAGCCAUGCCGCGUGUGUGAAGAAGGCCUUCGGGUUGUAAAGCACUUUCAGUCAGGAGGAAAGGUUAGUAGUUAAUACCUGCUAGCUGUGACGUUACUGACAGAAGAAGCACCGGCUAACUCCGUGCCAGCAGCCGCGGUAAUACGGAGGGUGCGAGCGUUAAUCGGAAUUACUGGGCGUAAAGCGUACGCAGGCGGUUUGUUAAGCGAGAUGUGAAAGCCCCGGGCUCAACCUGGGAACUGCAUUUCGAACUGGCAAACUAGAGUGUGAUAGAGGGUGGUAGAAUU
rnacentral:rRNA from 1 species